rnacentral:rRNA from 1 species
AUUGAACGCUGGCGGAAUGCUUUACACAUGCAAGUCGAACGGCAGCACGGGGCAACCUGGUGGCGAGUGGCGAACGGGUGAGUAAUAUAUCGGAACGUGCCCAAUCGUGGGGAUAACGUAGCGAAAGUUACGCUAAUACCGCAUACGAUCUACGGAUGAAAGCGGGGGAUCGCAAGACCUCGCGCGAAUGGAGCGGCCGAUAUCAGAUUAGGUAGUUGGUGGGGUAGAGGCUCACCAAGCCAACGAUCUGUAGCUGGUCUGAGAGGACGACCAGCCACACUGGAACUGAGACACGGUCCAGACUCCUACGGGAGGCAGCAGUGGGGAAUUUUGGACAAUGGGCGCAAGCCUGAUCCAGCCAUUCCGCGUGCAGGAUGAAGGCCUUCGGGUUGUAAACGUGCUUUGUACGGUAACGAAACGGUACUGCCCUAAUACGGACAGGCUAAUGACGGUACCGUAAGAAUAAGACACCGGCGUAACUACGUGCCA